rnacentral:rRNA from 1 species
UUCCAGACUCCUACGGGAGGCAGCAGCGGGGAAUAUUGGGCAAUGGGCGCAAGCCUGACCCAGCAACGCCGCGUGAAGGAAGAAGGCUUUCGGGUUGUAAACUUCUUUUCUCAGGGACGAAGCAAGUGACGGUACCUGAGGAAUAAGCCACGGCUAACUACGUGCCAGCAGCCGCGGUAAUACGUAGGUGGCAAGCGUUAUCCGGAUUUACUGGGUGUAAAGGGCGUGUAGGCGGGAAAGCAAGUCAGAUGUGAAAUUCCAGGGCUCAACCCUGGAACUGCGUUUGAAACUGUUCUUCUUGAGUGAUGGAGGGGCAGGCGGAAUUCCUGGUGUAGCGGUGAAAUGCGUAGAUAUCAGGAGGAACACCGGUGGCGAAGGCGGCCUGCUGGACUGCAACUGACGUUGAGGCCCGAAAGCGUGGGGAGCAAACAGGAUUAGAUACCCUCGUA